rnacentral:pre_miRNA from 1 species
UCGCCGCUGACGAUCACCGUUCGGCCCGCCAGGGCCGCCGGAUCGGCGACCCCGGCCCGGGCCAGCGGAUGAUCGUCGGUGACGA